GGGCGCUUAGCUCAGUUGGUAGAGCAUCGGCCUUACAAGCCGCAGGUCACAAGUUCGAGCCUUGUAGCGCCCACCA
rnacentral:tRNA from 1 species